rnacentral:rRNA from 1 species
CCUACGGGUGGCAGCAGUGAGGAAUAUUGGUCAAUGGACGAGAGUCUGAACCAGCCAAGUAGCGUGAAGGAUGACUGCCCUAUGGGUUGUAAACUUCUUUUAUAAAGGAAUAAAACGAGGCACGUGUGCCUUUUUGCAUGUACUUUAUGAAUAAGGAUCGGCUAAAUCCGUGCCAGCAGCCGCGGUAAUACGGAGGGUCCGAGCGUUAUCCGGGUUUAUUGGGUUUAACGGGAGGGUAGAUGGGUUGUUAAGUCAGUUGGGAAAGUUUGCGGCUCAACCGUAAAAUUGGAAUUGAUACUGGCAGUCUUGAGGACAGUUGAGGUAAGCGGAAUUCGUGGUGUAGCGGUGAAAUGCUUAGAUAUCACGAAGAACCCCGAUUGCGAAGGCAGCUUACUAAACUGUGACUGACAUUGAUGCUCGAAAGUGUGGGUAUCAAACAGGAUUAGAUACCCCUGGUAGUC